rnacentral:lncRNA from 1 species
UGGUUGCCCUUCCUGUGAUGAAGGCAAGUGUGUCCCUGGAGAGGCCCCUGAGUCUAGAGCUGCUUUUAGGGAGCUGCCAAUGGCACAGCCCUCCCUCCUCCAGGAAGCUGAGGGCUCCGUCACAGUGAGGCAGCCAGGAGCCAGGGCUUCCAUGACACAGACGUAGCUCUGGACCUGUAGGGGAGCAGGAUCUGGUAAAAGUGUUCCAGAGUUGUUCUUGGGUAUUUGCUUGGCCAAUAUCUUGAUUAUUUGUGGCAAUUUUAAUAUUUUUAACCUCAUUUGAUCAUAUUUUGUG